rnacentral:lncRNA from 1 species
UUAAACUAUCAUAAUUGGCCUAUUAUCUGAUUUUAAUACAUGUUUUAGCCUAUGGUACAUUUUUAACUUAUUAGCCGCUUUUAAUUAAUUUUUAAGAAGAUUCAACGUUAUCUAAAACACGUCUUUGAACCACGCCACAUGAAAUGCACCCGCGAUCCGCGACACGUUUUAUUUAACGUUGUUGAGAUUUGGAUUUGGGUCACAUGAAAUGCAUACCCGAGUUUAGGAAAGUAAUUUUUUAAAAUAGCGCGCCUAAAGCAACUACGCACUUUCAACUUUGCGAGGGCCAUGGAAAAUUCAACUAAAUGGCACGCCUCGAUUUCUAAGGAUUAAAAUUAAUUAAGCGAGGGCCAUGCAUUUUGAGAUUUUAUUUAGCAUGGCACACCUCGAUUCUAAUUUUAAAGGAAAAAAACUCAAACUAAACUUUGAUGGCCAUAGACUAAUCUUAUCCAAUAUGGCCCACCUCGAAUCUAUCUAAUUAAUUAACACUGAAGGAGUUUGAGUUCUAUUUUAAACUAAUGUCAAAGCUAAUCAAAAGGAAAACGUCCAAAAGAGAGACAUGGCCGAUUAUUUAAAAGAAAAGAAACUUCUUGGGCUAUCAACAAAAUUUGGAAGGAAAAUUAAAAGGCAGGCCCAAAAAUACAAGAGUAUAUAAUUCCAUUUGCCAAUGUUUUCAGACUUGGGCCCAAGAUAAUCCCAAUUCUUAAUAGAGAAUAGACGUCAGGGACUCAGAAUAUACAAACGAGUCUGAGAUGGACAUUCCUUUGCUGGGCCAACUUUAAGCCCAACUUUCAGAACCCAAACAAUGGUACAAAAUCAAUCAAAAUGCAAAUCUAAUCAAGACUAUACGAAACAUGCCAUUGAAUUAACCUUUUUUACUUCUGGAUCCUUUGAUUAUUAAAACGUAAAUCAACUAAAGCUGAAUUUCUGAAAUUAACAUUCAUGCACUUUUGGCCAAAUCUGCCUUAGACCCACAUGGCCGCAUCACUAGAAAAUAGACAUUGGGCCCAAAAUGAGCCCAACCAGAUGUAAGGUCAAUUGCUGGAGACCUGGGACUCAAGAUCAAGUCUCCUCAUAGGCUAAUAACGUGUGUUUAAACCUUUCUUUCCUAGCAACAAACCAAACUUCAAACUACAAGGUUUAAAACCUCAUUUCACAAGACAUCGAACAACUGGAUUGAUUUAUGUCAAACCUUAAGCAAGACUAAUAGGCAAUUAAAACUACUCUCAACAUGGGUUUAUAAUCAUGCAUCACAAAAUAGGCUAUUCACAACAAAAUGACGCCUCACAGUACCCUUCAAUUAGCACAUUACAUAUUACUAUUUUUUGCAAGCUCUAUAUGCAAUCACACACACUGACCUUCAGCAAAAUAAAAGCAGGUUGUAUAACUGGAAUAAACCAUCUACUAUGUCGUCUUUAACAGUUCCAAAUCAAUUCUAAGAAUACAAACUUCGCUAUCUAACUAGAAAUUAAUUAGAAACAUGGGGAAUUAGGCCAUUAAAACACCAUAUAAAUGAGGAAAUGCAACUGAAUUCAGAAACAAAGUUGAGGACAUGCUUCAAACUCUAUAUUUCCAUUUCACUCUUCAAUUCAAACCUUACAUUAAAUAAGGUUCAAGAGCAUGUACCUGGAAGUGAUAAAGGAAACAAAGAAGUGAAAAAUCAGCAAAGAGCAGCAGCAGUAACCUAGUCAGAAACCAGCAAUGAAACAGAAUUCUAACAGCAGCUUAAAACCAGGCUUCAGAACUCAAAACUCAGGCCAUUUUAACCAAGUGCAAGGUUUGAAACUUUAAGAAAUUCCCAGCUAAACAGUGAGAUCAAAGAACACUAAAAGCCAAGCAAAAUUUAAUCAGUUUUUCUAAAGAAACGCAGUAAAAUCAGUGUUGUUUUUAGAGUUUUCUCUAGAUUCCAACCAUUUCAAUUUUUCAGUACUUUUGGUCUCCCAAAAUCUGCCUUGCUAGUGAAGAAAGGAUGCCUUUAUAGGCAAGGUUUUAGGGCUGCAAAAAUGAACUAAGUUUUGCACCUCUACCCUUUUGAUAUUUUCAUUUUUGCUCGCAUACCCUUAAUUUAAAACUCAGAUUUUCAGAAUAGUCCUAAAGGCACCUUCUAGGCAGCUUUCUAUUCAGUUAAAAGAGAUUCCCCUACCCUGAAUUUCCUAACUUACCCCUUAUGAGCCUUGUUUUUACUUCAGAGACCAGACCAAUAUGGGUCAAGUUAACCCAAAUCACAUUGCUAUUGAUCUGUAUAACCCAAGUCAACUCCCUUUUUGGGCUUUCUGAUUUCAUAAUUCAAAUCGAGCCCUAGUCAAUAAUCACAUUUUAACUGGCUAACCAGAAUUUCCCACAAGAAAGACCAGAAAACUUUUAAAAUGAAACCAAAAACAAAAGAAAAGGGGAAAUGAACUAAUUAACAAAACACAUAAGUUAAAUUCGCCAUUAGGCUAAUUAAGCAAACAGAACAAACGAAAGAAAAUGAACACAUAACGAAGGAAGGAAGAGAGGAGACAGAAAAAGAGAUGAAAGUGAACUUAAUCAAAGAAGAAGAAGAAAAAUGCAAGAAAAAGGAAAAAGGAUGAAAAAUACCUAAAUUAGACGGGCUUAAUCUUGGAUUCACCCCUCGAGCUUUCGAUUUUGACCGAAAUGGGCUUUAAUCAUGUGUUCUCAAACGAAAACAUAUGAAUAAAGCCAAUUUCGACUUCAAAUCUUCAAUAAGCUCACUAAUUUAGGUUUUGGGAAUUUAGGGUUCGAAUCUUUGAUUUAAGAUUCGAGGAGCUCCAGGGGGAUUCGAGGUAAAAUAAUUGGAGAAUGGGAGAGGGGAGGCUGUGAGAGUUCCAUGGUGUUGAUUUGGGGUAGUUUGGGGUGGCGCCGCCGGCCCAAGUCGGUGGAAAAUGGGGGAGCUUCUAGGGUUUUCUGGGGUGUUCUUUGAAAGAGAGUGAAAUGAGAGAGAU